GUCCAUCAGAAGUUUCAAGCAGAGGGGUCAGCGCCCUAUGAGUGCUGUGUGUAUAUGGUAGCUGCUUUAGUGUGAAGAUGCUGGAGAGUGCUGAUGUCACCGCAUCGGUGGCCCUGGCUGACCCUGUCCUCUGGCUUUAGCAGACACAGGGCAUCAGGUUUUGGCAAGAUGGCAGCAAGAGGCAAUAACAUCAGUUAGAGAAAAUGAUUAAUUUAGAAACUGUUGUUGACGUAAUCUGGCAUUUAUUCAACUAAGGAACUGACCAGCUGACAAAGACAAACUCAAAACUCCU